rnacentral:lncRNA from 1 species
AGAGAAUGCAUGCUCGGGUAUCAUUGAUGGUCAGACACAAGUGCCAAUCGAGGAUUUGAAAAGUGAACCACCAGCAUCCUUGGAUGUGGACUCGCAGCAAGCUGCCUUGCAGCAUUGUCAUGUACAGGACUUCAGACAUCUAAACGAAAUUGAUGAUGGCGAACCACCCGUGGUCAGCAUCAUGGAGCCUACAGAGACUAAUCCGGAGCAUCCUACUGGAGAAAAGGAUGAGAAACUAGCGUUGGCCACGGUGGAGAAAAGAAAUGAAAUUGAUGAUGGCGAACCACCCGUGGUCAGCAUUAUGGAGCCUACAGGGGCUAAUCCGGAGCAUCCUACCGGAGGAAAGGAUGAGAAACUAGUGUUGGCCACGGUGGAGAAAGGUAACUAUGAUUCUGUGGUUGAAGAUGGGAUUGGGCCUGCAUCCAAUUUGGGAGAUGAAAGCGGCACGGAGAUGGAGUUUAUGAGCAAGGAUCAAGGGACUUCUGCUCUGCA